UGGUCAAGUUAUUAAGGGUGCAGGGCGGAUGCCUUGGCACUAGGAGCCGAUGAAGGACGUGAUAAGCUGCGAUAAGCUUCGGGGAGUUGCACGUAAACUUUGAUCCGAAGAUUUCCGAAUGAGGAAACUCACUUAGAGUAAUGUCUAAGUAUCAUUAAGUGAAUACAUAGCUUAAUGAGGGGAACUCAGGGAACUGAAACAUCUAAGUACCUGAAGGAAGAGAAAGAAAUUCGAUUCCGUAAGUAGCGGCGAGCGAACGCGGAUUAGCCCAAACCAAUAAAGUUUUCUUUAUUGGGGUUGCG
rnacentral:rRNA from 1 species